UACGAAGGGGGCUAGCGUUGCUCGGAAUCACUGGGCGUAAAGCGCACGUAGGCGGAUCUUUAAGUCAGGGGUGAAAUCCCGGAGCUCAACUCCGGAACUGCCUUUGAUACUGGGGAUCUUGAGUUCGAGAGAGGUGAGUGGAACUGCGAGUGUAGAGGUGAAAUUCGUAGAUAUUCGCAAGAACACCAGUGGCGAAGGCGGCUCACUGGCUCGAUACUGACGCUGAGUGAGCGAAAGCCAGGGGAGCAAACGGG
rnacentral:rRNA from 1 species